rnacentral:rRNA from 1 species
AUUGAACGCUGGCGGCGUGCCUAAUACAUGCAAGUCGAACGCAUUGAGAGAAGUGCUUGCACUUUUCAAUUUGAGUGGCGAACGGGUGAGUAACACGUGGGCAACCUACCUGAUAGCGGGGGAUAACGAGUGGAAACAUUCGCUAAUACCGCAUAACAAUAGAGAAGGCAUCUUCUUUAUUUAAAAGGCGCUUUCAAGCGUCACUAUCAGAUGGGCCCGCGGUGCAUUAGUUAGUUGGUGGGGUGAAGGCCUACCAAGACGAUGAUGCAUAGCCGAUUUGAAGGCCUGAACGGCCACAUUGGGCAUGAGAAACGGCCCAAACGCCUACGGGAGGCUGCAGUAGGGAAGCUUCCACAAUGGACGAAAGUCUGAUGGAGCAACGCCGCGUGUGUGAUGAAGGCUUUCGGGUCGUAAAGCACUGUUGUAUGGGAAGAAUUGCUAGGCUAGGAAAUGAGCUUAGUUUGACGGUACCAUACCAGAAAGGGACGGCUAAAUACGUGCCAGCCGCCGCAGUAA